GAGACCCGUGCCCACUGUUACCAGCAUGUCCUUUGGGAUGAUGGGUACUCUGUGGGGACCGCCGGUGUUAAAUCGGAGGAAGGUGCGGGCUACGGUAGGUCAGUAUGCCCCGAAUCUCCCGGGCUACACGCGGGCUACAAUGGAUGGGACAAUGGGUCCCUUCCCUGAAAAGGGUUGGUAAUCUCAAAAACCCAUUCUUAGUUCGGAUCGAGGGCUGUAACUCGCCCUCGUGAAGCUGGAAUCCGUAGUAAUCGCGUUUCAAUAUAGCGCGGUGAAUAC
rnacentral:rRNA from 1 species